GCCUGGGUGGCUCAGUCUGUUAAGCAUCUGACUUCGACUCAGGUCAUGAUCUCCAGGUUCGUGGGUUUGAGCCCCACAUCAGGCU
rnacentral:tRNA from 1 species